rnacentral:rRNA from 1 species
UACGGAGGGGGCUAGCGUUGUUCGGAAUUACUGGGCGUAAAGCGCGCGUAGGCGGCUUUGUAAGUUAGAGGUGAAAGCCCAGGGCUCAACCCUGGAAUUGCCUUUAAGACUGCAUCGCUUGAACAUCGGAGAGGUAAGUGGAAUUCCGAGUGUAGAGGUGAAAUUCGUAGAUAUUCGGAAGAACACCAGUGGCGAAGGCGACUUACUGGACACAUAUUGACGCUGAGGUGCGAAAGCGUGGGGAGCAAACAGG